GAUGAACGCUGGCGGCGUGCUUAACACAUGCCAGUCGAACGGAAAGGCUCCUGCUUGCAGGGGUACUCGAGUGGCGAACGGGUGAGUAACACGUGGGUGAUCUGCCCUGCACUUCGGGAUAAGCCUGGGAAACUGGGUCUAAUACCGGAUAGGACGAUGGUUUGGAUGCCAUUGUGGAGAGUUUUUCGGUGUGGGAUGAGCUCGCGGCCUAUCAGCUUGUUGGUGGGGUAAUGGCCUACGAAGGCGUCGACGGGUAGCCGGCCUUGGAGGGGGUACGGCCACAUUGGGACUGAGGUAGGGCGCAGACUCCAACGGGAGGCAGCAGUGGGGAGUAUUGCACAAUGAGCGCAAGCCUGAUGCAGCGACGCCGCGUGGGGGAUGACGGCCUUCGGGUUGUGAACUCCUUUCGCUAGGGACGAAGCGCAAGUGACGGUACCUGGAGAAGAAGCACCGGCUAACUACGUG
rnacentral:rRNA from 1 species